rnacentral:lncRNA from 1 species
UGGGCAUGCAACUGCAUGUGGUCAUGGUUUUGCUUAUCUUCUGCAAACGUCAGAAAAAUGCUACUAAUUUCAAAAUGCCCUAGUCAUCUAGCCUUGCUCUUUCAUCACGCUGUGUUCUCCAUAAAUAAAAGAGUUUUUGUUGGUUGGUUGACUUUAAGGAAAGACAUUUUCUCAUUUAAGCAUACAAGUAUAAUAUGGUGACUUUUCAAAUUAAGGGUCAGGCACAGGCUUUGUUUAAACUUUGACAGCUUGCCCUCUGGGAUUACAUCAUCUGCUCUGUUGGUUGAGCCUUGCAGCCUGGCCCAAACACCUUUCCAAAUUUGGAAACAGAGGUGUAUGCCCAUUGGCCUUGUAGAGAAUAAUAUUACAAUAAUUUCAGCCAGGAUGCCCAAACCUCCUUGAAACCAUCCCAUGGAAGGAGUUCUAGGAGUUUGCACUGUCUGCAUUCCAUAAGCAAAUAACCUUCAAACUGCGCCCACGUGGCCAGGAUUAGUAUUCAUGUUACUCUCCAUGGGAGCCACUGAAGGUCAAGGACAAAGUGUAUGUGGACAUAAAAACAAGCUUCAUAUAUUGUGUGUCAUAGGGGACUGCCCUACCUGCCAAGGGUCUCACUGGAUCUCUGUACUCAUUUCCUGUUGCCAGCUGGUGGACAAUAUGGUGCUAAGAACUCAAGAAGUUGGUCCUCACGUUGAACCUCAGAGGUCACCAAACCUUUCUGGAUAGCUGCUAGGGAGUUUCUGGAGGUGCUCAAUAGUGACAUAUGUCAAGUUGAGAAGGGACAGCUGAUCUUCCAGGGUAGAGAUGGAUCCACUCCCCACUCUCAUAAAGAAGAUGUGGGUUUGUUUGACCUUCACUAUAUAGGAAAAAGCCUCACAAAUUCUUCAGCCCCUUGGAUGGAGGCUCAGCCUCCACACUGUAAAAUGCGGACAUAAUAACUUUUACAUAAUUUGAAAGGUUUCAUAAGAAUUGUCCCCCUAAUAUAUAUGAAGUGCCAUCCAAAUUAGAUUAACACAAGAGGAUUAUAUAAACACAGUGUAUUAUUUUUAUUAUUCUCAACUUAUCACAAUGGUCACCAUCCAACUUCUCAGUAGGAGUUAGGUUAAAGCUCACAGCUCACAGCACCCGUGGAGGCCAAAUCAUGCUGGGAUGGACCCUCUGUAUUUGCAGCCCAAACGUGUGUCUGUGAGCUGCAUGUGUUAAAACGUGUUUGCAUUUGGGAUGGGGACUGAGGAAGCAUCUGGGGACUGGACAGAAGAGUUUCCCCAGGAUGCAGUACUUUGAACAAACCAUGGAUUCCAGAAAAGACAUCUGUUUCCAUCAAGAACUAACAUGGAAUAAUAACAAAGAAGA